UUUUGCUGAAACAAUUAGGAAGGAGAGCUCUCUUUCCUGGGCAGCUGCCAAUCUGGAAGGUAUAGGCCUGGAGUUUUUGAUGGUCGUCUUUGCCACUAUCUAAGAAUAAAGCCAGUGAUGAAGGAAGCAAAGCUGAGAGAUGGACAAUUAGUCCAGCUGGCAUGGUUUGAGCACCAGUUCAACUGCAUAGAAAAAGCAAGGCAAGUGAGGGAGAGAAAAAUAUGGGACUCAGGAAAAGGAGUCAGCUUGCCUAAAGUCAAACAGGUCCAUCACAUAGUCAGGAUUCAGACCCAGAAGGCGGGAGUGCAAGGCACCACCCUCCAGCGCCUCCAGGAUUUAAGGAAAAGCCCACAUUAUACCCCAAUUCCCAUCAAGGGCAGCUGCUGGGAACAUGGCACGUGGAAGCAAAUGCCCUGCUCUGGGAUGAAGCUGUGAUAUUGUACCCCCAUCUCAACUUCAAACAUGAAAGAUACUGUGUACC